rnacentral:tRNA from 1 species
AGAAAUUAGUUAAACCCAUAACAUAUGCCUGUCACGCAUAAAUUAUCUUUUUAGAUAUUUCUU